CCUACGGGAGGCAGCAGUCGAGAAUCAUUCACAAUGGGGGAAACCCUGAUGGUGCGACGCCGCGUGGGGGAAUGAAGGUCUUCGGAUUGUAAACCCCUGUCAUGUGGGAGCAAAUUAAAAAGAUAGUACCACAAGAGGAAGAGACGGCUAACUCUGUGCCAGCAGCCGCGGUAAUACAGAGGUCUCAAGCGUUGUUCGGAGUCACUGGGCGUAAAGCGUGCGUAGGCUGUUGCGUAAGUCGUGUGUGAAAGGCCCGGGCUCAACCCUCGGACGGCACAUGAUACUGCGAGACUAGAGUAAUGGAGGGGGAACCGGAAUUCUCGGUGUAGCAGUGAAAUGCGUAGAUAUCGAGAGGAACACUCGUGGCGAAGGCGGGUUCCUGGACAUUAACUGACGCUGAGGCACGAAAGCCAGGGGAGCGAAAGGGAUUAGAUACCCCUGUAGUC
rnacentral:rRNA from 1 species